rnacentral:rRNA from 2 species
UACGGAGGGUGCAAGCGUUAUCCGGAUUCACUGGGUUUAAAGGGUGCGUAGGUGGACAUUUAAGUCAGUGGUGAAAUCUUUGGGCUUAACCCGAAAACUGCCAUUGAUACUAUUUGUCUUGAAUUCUCUGGAGGUAAGCGGAAUAUGUCAUGUAGCGGUGAAAUGCUUAGAUAUGACAUAGAACACCCAUUGCGAAGGCAGCUUACUACGGAGACAUUGACACUGAGGCACGAAAGCGUGGGGAUCAAACAGG